rnacentral:rRNA from 1 species
AGAAUCAACGCUGGCGGCGUGCCUAACACAUGCAAGUCGCACGAGAAAGGGUAGCAAUACCUGAGUAAAGUGGCGCACGGGUGAGUAACACGUGACUAAUCUACCCUCGAGUGGGGAAUAACUGAGAGAAAUCUUAGCUAAUACCGCAUAACACUUACGAGUCAAAGCAGCAAUGCGCUUGGGGAGGAGGUCGCGGCCGAUUAGCUAGUUGGCGGGGUAAUGGCCCACCAAGGCGAUGAUCGGUA